rnacentral:rRNA from 1 species
CACAGAGGAGCUUGCUCCUUGGGUGGCGAGUGGCGGACGGGUGAGGAAUACAUCGGAAUCUACUUUUUCGUGGGGGAUAACGUAGGGAAACUUACGCUAAUACCGCAUACGACCUACGGGUGAAAGCAGGGGACCUUCGGGCCUUGCGCGAUUGAAUGAGCCGAUGUCGGAUUAGCUAGUUGGCGGGGUAAAGGCCCACCAAGGCGACGAUCCGUAGCUGGUCUGAGAGGAUGAUCAGCCACACUGGAACUGAGACACGGUCCAGACUCCUACGGGAGGCAGCAGUGGGGAAUAUUGGACAAUGGGCGCAAGCCUGAUCCAGCCAUACCGCGUGGGUGAAGAAGGCCUUCGGGUUGUAAAGCCCUUUUGUUGGGAAAGAAAUCCAGCCGGCUAAUACCCGGUUGGGAUGACGGUACCCAAAGAAUAAGCACCGGCUAACUUCGUGCCAGCAGCCGCGGUAAUACGAAGGGUGCAAGCGUUACUCGGAAUUACUGGGCGUAAAGCGUGCGUAGGUGGUCGUUUAAGUCCGUUGUGAAAGCCCUGGGCUCAACCUGGGAACUGCAGUGGAUACUGGGCGACUAGAGUGUGGUAGAGGGUAGCGGAAUUCCUGGUGUAGCAGUGAAAUGCGUAGAGAUCAGGAGGAACAUCCAUGGCGAAGGCAGCUACCUGGACCAACACUGACACUGAGGCACGAAAGCGUGGGGAGCAAACAGGAUUAGAUANCCUGGUAGUCCACGCCCUAAACGAUGCGAACUGGAUGUUGGGUGCAAUUUGGCACGCAGUAUCGAAGC